CUUAGCUUAGUUGGUCAGAGCGCCAGGCUUUUAACCUGGUGGUCGAGGGUUCGAUCCCCUCAG
rnacentral:ncRNA from 11 species